AGAGUUUGAUCCUGGCUCAGGACGAACGCUGGCGGCGUGCUUAAUACAUGCAAGUCGAGCGCGAACAUUCCUUCGGGAAUGUUUGAGCGGCGGACGGGUGAGUAACGCGUGGGCAACCUGCCCUCUAGCCUGGGAUAACAGUUCGAAAGGACUGCUAACACCGGAUACUCUCUUAAGAAGGCAUCUUUUUAAGAGGAAAGUUUACACUAGAGGAUGGGCCCGCGUCCCAUUAGCUAGUUGGUGAGGUAACGGCCCACCAAGGCGACGAUGGGUAGCCGACCUGAGAGGGUGAACGGCCACACUGGGACUGAGACACGGCCCAGACUCCUACGGGAGGCAGCAGUAGGGAAUUUUCCGCAAUGGGCGAAAGCCUGACGGAGCAACGCCGCGUGAGGGAUGAAGGUUUUCGGAUCGUAAACCUCUGUCUUCAGGGACGAUAAUGACGGUACCUGAGGAGGAAGCCACGGCUAACUACGUGCCAGCAGCCGCAGUAAUACGUAGGUGGCAAGCGUUGUCCGGAAUUACUGGGCGUAAAGGGCGUGUAGGCGGCCUUUUAAGUCAGGCGUGAAAUCCAUGGGCUUAACCCAUGAAUUGCGUUUGAAACUGGAGGGCUUGAGGAUCGGAGAGGACAGUGGAAUUCCCAGUGUAGCGGUGAAAUGCGUAGAUAUUGGGAGGAACACCAGUGGCGAAGGCGACUGUCUGGACGACACCUGACGCUGAGGCGCGAAAGCUAGGGGAGCAAACGGGAUUAGAUACCCCGGUAGUCCUAGCCGUAAACGAUGGGUACUAGGUGUGGGAGGUAUCGACCCCUUCCGUGCCGCAGUUAACACAAUAAGUACCCCCGCCUGGGGAGUACGGCCGCAAGGUUGAAACUCAAAAUGAAUUGACGGGAAUC
rnacentral:rRNA from 1 species